rnacentral:rRNA from 1 species
CCCUUAGAUGUUCUGGGCCGCACGCGCGCUAAACUGACGAAUGCAACGAGCUUAUAACCUUGGCCGAAAGGUCUGGGUAAUCUCCAAAUUUCGUCGUGAUGGGGAUAGAUUAUUGCAAUUAUUAAUCUUCAACGAGGAAUGCCUAGUAAGCGCAAGUCAUCAGCUUGCGUUGAUUACGUCCCUGCCCUUUGUACACACCGCCCGUCGCUCCUACCGAUUGAAUGGUCCGGUGAAGCGCUCGGACCGCGGCCUCUUGACGGUUCGCUGUCGAUUGGCUGUGGGAAGUUCGUUAAACCUUAUCAUUUAGAGGAAGGAGAAGUCGUAACA